rnacentral:rRNA from 1 species
UACGUAGGGUGCGAGCGUUGUCCGGAAUUAUUGGGCGUAAAGAGCUCGUAGGCGGUGUGUCACGUCGGCCGUGAAAACCUGCAGCUUAACUGUGGGCGUGCGGUCGAUACGGACAUCACUGGAGUUCGGCAGGGGAGACUGGAAUUCCUGGUGUAGCGGUGAAAUGCGCAGAUAUCAGGAGGAACACCAGUGGCGAAGGCGGGUCUCUCGUCGGAC